UGGCGGACAGUGAGAUUGCAGGAGAGUGAACUACAGAAACAAGAAGAUUUCCGAGAAAUAACAUUUGUUAUCGAGGAAAAAAACAUUUUCCCACAAUCUCAGGUGUCGGAAACUCUGUGUCAAGGACCAUACAUAACUACAAGCCAGCUAUGGACAAGACGUCGGUGUCGAUCGGGAUCACUGUGGGCUUCGCCGUGCUGGGCGGUCUGCUCCUGGCCUGUCUCAUCAAGCACCUGUGGGGCAAGAUAAAGUGCCCCAAGUGCAAACGCAAGAAGCCGUCAAUGAAGGAUAAAGUGCUAGAGAAAGUUGGUGUUCAGUCCAAGUCCAAGUCCAAGACAUUCUCCAUCAGCAACAUAGUGGAGAAGAAAUAAGAGCUAGCUGCAGAAUGUAUAGCGUGGCCACAGAAUCACCUUUUCUACUCAUUUCCUGUACCUGUGCUUUAGUUCUGACUCACUUCCUCCUGACGCUCUAAAAGCUACCUCUCUCUGACUUUAGCUCCCAUUGGCACGUGUGUGUCCUCAGUCAACUUCUGUCAUGAUGGCCUUUACAUGUUCCUCUUUCUGCAUAGACAUAACUUGUGGAUAUCUGUAUAUAUGUAAUAGUUACGACAGGUGGAUUCUCUAGUGUAACAUAAGAGUAGAAUAACUCUAACAGGGUUCGGAUUUUAUUUUAGCUCAAUAGAAGUCGGUGGUCACUUACACAGCAUGAACUCCAUGUUUUGGACAUGUAUUUGACCUUUGCAGGACUCACUCAUAUCUGUUCUUUCUCACGCUAGUGAAAAAAAAAAAAAAUUCCAUUGACUGUCAUGCAAAAAAAAAAAAAAAAAAAAAAAAAACACUCCUGUUUUGGUCGGUGUUCUCACACAUAGCCAGCCUUGAGAGUUGGCACCUUUGGUGUUAACAUAUUACAAUUCUUAGUGAAAGCCAGUUUUCUUGUCAUUUGUGGGCAGGGGUGAAACUAUCGACAUGAGUGUGAAGGCACCAACUGCCUUUGGGGUAACUCUCACACGGCCAUGUUUGUUUUGUCACUAUCUAUCUCUUUUUCUAUCUCUCUUUCCAUCUAUCUAUCUACAUAUCUAUCUA